rnacentral:lncRNA from 1 species
CGGUGAUCUCUGGAGAACAAAAAUCUCCCACAGCGUCGUCGUCGCCCCCCAACCCCCUUCCCCCCACACGCCGCCCUACCUCCCCCGCCUCCAGCCUUCCCCAAAUUCGCUAGGUAUCACUUUCGCCCAAAUCAUACGACAAGUUUUACUAGGAAGCAAGGGAGAUUUCAAGUUGAAUUCAAAGGGUAAAUUUGUAAUCGUGAAAAAUAAUCAACAUUACUGUAGAAAGUGCGAAAACAUAACUGGAGGUGGGCGUGAGUUGUAGUUUCUAAGGAGAACAAUAGAUUUCAUGCGGGCUUAGGGUUUUAUGC